UUCUAAAAUCAUCCUGUUUCUAAAAGUUGAUUGUAGAAAAUAGAGAUCGUGAGUGGCAAUCAUGGGCAAUAUUAAUAUUGACAACAGUAACUGAUUUAGCACAUGAAAAAAUAAAUAAACUUGAAAUGUACUAAACUCAAAGUUAAAAUUGAAAUGCCAAAUUAGUGUUUCUCUUUUGGAUUUGCACAUUACAAAAGAAAGUGCUGGAUUGUUCACUCCACUGUUGAUAUCUACAGUCCUUGUAUAAUUAACCCUUGCUCCCUGCAUCAGUCUAUUUAACCAAAUUUCUGCUGUUGUACUCUUGAAUCAUUUUGUCACAUUAGAUCAAGGAGGAAUUCAGGAGAAUCGAUCAUGGGGCAGAGAUUCAUGUUCAGACUUGACCAAUGCACAUCAAGACUUAUUGCCCUGAUGAAGGCCAUGGGAGGUGUUGUGGGGACCAAACUGAGGCCAUUUCUGGACAAACUGAGUCAGACACAAAGCCUUGAGAUGGGAAUCAGUUAUCCGCAGCCUCAUUCUCUACUUUGACGAUAAAGAAGAUGAUAAACUGUGUUUUGAAGAUGAACAGAGUUCUGACGGGCUCGGGACGACAUGAGGGAGGACAGCGGCAGUGACAUCACUCAGCACAGCAUUAAAAUACUGGUCGUUCGUGGUGCUGAUGGAGAAGAUCCAAUCGAUGUAUCCACCCUUUUUGAAGGGAAGGAAAUGCUGGAAGCAGCAAUACCGUAAAGACAGUUUUACUGAAUGCACAUGUGUCAAGAGAUGACUGAAUGUCCAUUCUUGUAUGAACAUUUUUGAUGACUGAAAAAUAAACUGUUUAAUUGAA